CUACGGGAUGCACCAGUGGGGAAUAUUGGGCAAUGGGCGCAAGCCUGACCCAGCAACGCCGCGUGAGGGAAGAAGGUUUUCGGAUUGUAAACCUCUGUCCUUGGGGACGAAGAAGUGACGGUACCCAAGGAGGAAGCUCCGGCUAACUACGUGCCAGCAGCCGCGGUAAUACGUAGGGAGCAAGCGUUGUCCGGAAUUACUGGGCGUAAAGGGUGCGUAGGCGGCAUAUUAAGUCAGGUGUGAAAUACUCGGGCUCAACCCGGGGGCUGCAUUUGAAACUGAUAUGCUUGAGUGUGAGAGAGGAAAGUGGAAUUCCUAGUGUAGCGGUGGAAUGCGUAGAUAUUAGGAGGAACACCAGUGGCGAAGGCGACUUUCUGGCUCAUAACUGACGCUGAGGCACGAAAGCGUGGGGAGCAAACACGAUUAGAUACCCUAGUAGUC
rnacentral:rRNA from 1 species